AACGCACGAGACCUGCGGACCUGCGGAGGGAUCAUUACCGAGUUUACAACUCCCAAACCCCAAUGUGAACAUUACCUUUACUGUUGCUUCGGCGGGAUCGCCCCGGGCGCGGCCGAGAGGCCCAGCCCCGGAUCCAACGUGCGCCCGCCGGAGGACCCCAGACUCCAUGUUUCUUGCAAGGUAUUUCUGAGCUGCUCCUAGCGAGCAAAACAAAAAAUGAAUCAAAACUUUCAACAAUGG
rnacentral:misc_RNA from 1 species